UAAUAAAAACUAUUUUGUUCGUCUCGAAAAGAUAAGAUCUAUCUAAGUUGUUAAAUUUGGUUAAUAUAAUUUAUUGUAAUAAAAAUAAAAUAAAAAACUUAGAUAGGAAUGAAAUGUUCUUCAAUUCUCUUGAUAUCUAGAUAAAGGAAAAAUGUAUUUAGUACAAAAUUUACACUUAAUUAGUAAUAAGAUUAAUUAAGUUAUAGAAUUUUUAAUUUAUUUAUUUUAUAAAGGUAAUUCUUUAAAUAUAAUUAUAAAUUAAAAUUAAUUUUGGAAGAAUCUGCUUAAUACCCUUUUAUAUUAUAAAGUUUAAAGAUAGUAUAAAUUUUGUUUAAAUUAGUAACUAAAUUAAUAAUGAUCAAGGAACUCGGCAAAAAGAAUUUUUCAACUGUUUAUCAAAAACAUAGCUUUAAGGUAAUCUAUUUAAAGUUCAACCUGCCCAGUGGAAUAUCUAAACGGCCGCAGUACUCUGACUGUGCUAAGGUAGCAUAAUAAAUUGGCUUUUAAUUAAAGUCGGGAAUGAAAGGGUUAAUGGAAAAUUGCUGUUUCGAUUAUUUUUUUAUAAACUUACUUAGUAAGUGAAAAUUCUUACUUUUAUUAAUAUUAGACGAGAAGACCCUAUGAAUUAUAAUUAAAAUAGAAAGCUUUCUAUUUAAUUUUUGUUGGGGCAACAUUAACGGAAAAUAACCGUUAUAAUAUAUUUGUUUUACUACUAAUUUAAUAUAAAUAAAUUUAAUUACCUUAGGGAUAACAGCAUUAUUAUUUUAUAGAUUGUGACCUCGAUGUUGGAUUAAGGACUUUUAGAGUAAGCCACUUUAAAAGAUAGUUCUGUUCGAACUUUUAACCUUA
rnacentral:rRNA from 1 species